rnacentral:rRNA from 1 species
UACGGGGGGAGCAAGCGUUGUUCGGAUUUACUGGGCGUAAAGGGCGCGUAGGCGGCCACCGCAAGUCGGUUGUGAAAUCUCUUGGCUUAACCCAGAAAGGUCAACCGAUACUGCGGGGCUAGAGUGCAGAAGGGGCAACUGGAAUUCUCGGUGUAGCGGUGAAAUGCGUAGAUAUCGAGAGGAACACCUGCGGCGAAGGCGGGUUGCUGGGCUGACACUGACGCUGAUGCGCGAAAGCUAGGGGAGCGAACGGG